GUCUCUUUGGAUACAUCUAAUAAAAUUGGAAUGAUACAAAGAAGAUUAGCAUGACCCUUGCUCAAGGAUGACACACACAAAUUGAGAAAUGUUUCUCCAUAAA